UGGGGAAUGGGGCUCUUCCUGUUUUACUCUACUGAGACCGACUCGAGACGCUGUUGUCAGUUUCAACAAAAUGGCUGCUGGAGCGCCACAAACGAAAACCCAGUGAACGCUUCACGUCAGCGCAGUAUCCUUUUCAAUGGAUGCAUUGGAAUUUCCCUACCUUUUGAGCAUCGGGACAUUUAACUCGCGUGGGCUCGUUUACAUGCGUGUUUGCGAACUAAAGGCAUGCUGAGAUAUUCCCUUCACGCACUUUAUUUACAUCCAAAAGCAUACAAAAGCUCAAGCUGCCAGUGCGCGCGCGCGCGCGUCUGUGUGGGUGUGCGCGCGUGUGUAGCUGCUCCUGAGGAUCGCCGAAAUGUUACAGAUGAUCAACCCUAAUCUUGCUUGCUGACGUGCAAAACUGUCGUUUAAUGUCCUUUUCACUGUUUGCACUGGUAUUUCAGAGUUCCCCCCACCCACCCCCCUCUCUGGACAGAUUCCACUGCAUAAUGAGAUGUGAAUUUCUCAACUGGAAAGUCGGGCUCGCCAUUGCAGCUCACUGCAAGAGUGAGUGAGUGAGUAGGAUCUGCUCUUGAGUGUCAGUACGGGUAUCGACAACAUCCUCCUUCACCACGCAGCUCAUGCAUCACAUUUAAACAGCAGACCGCAGGUGCUCCGUGUGCGAAAUUAAGAGGUCUUUGAGGAGGAGGAGGAGCUAGAGGAACCAGCUGUGAGUCCCAAAGUUAGAUUUAUGCUGACCUCUGAAGAUUGUGACUGGAUCUGUGUCCCACUGACCUUCA
ensembl:lncRNA